CCUUGCUUCUCACUCAGAAGCGGCUCCCAUGCUUCCUCUUUCGGCCCCAUGAUCCAAUGAGGCUCCCGUUCGUCAGGAUGGUGAUAUUCUACAAUCUGGCGUCAUUGGCUUUCUGAGAGGCAACAGGCGGAUUCUUUACCACUAGUGCCUCCUGGGAAGCCCUUUGAUCUAUUCCGGACACAAUUCUCUGUUCAGGCCUGAACCUCUGAGGGAGCUCCAGAACCAGGAAGUGACUAAUGAUAUUGCAUGAGAUAGAUUAACUUAAUUCUUUCAUCAUCAAUUUUUGUUUGUGACUACAUAGUAACAACCAUGAAAAUAGAGACUCAGUAUUCAUUGCUUGGAGCAGUUCUACUUUCCUGUUGUACAGCACUAAGAUGCGGCUAUGUUCCAUAACUUAAAGAAUGCAUACAUCGCCCACAAGGAUCAGAAUGAGUCAGCAAUAUACCCUUAUGCAAUGAAAGCAAAAAGAAGAAAAGUAGAGUUUCCAGCUUCUGACUUAGUAUGAUGUGAAUGGAUGGACUCCCCAACCAAGCAAAUUGAUGCUUUAAACUCAAUGUCACCUUAAUAAAUAUCUGUAUAAUAUUGGAAGAACAUGUUUUGCCACCAUCUGGUCUGUUUCAUCUUGAUAAUUUAAGUCUUAAAGGAGAAACUCUUCACUUUUUAUUUUUGCCUGAUAUCCUUUAUACUCACUCCCAUAGGAAAGGAUAAUGUUUAUUUCUCCCCAUGUUGAUGAUUCCAAUAACCAGUGUUGAAUAUGUGCAGAAUUUCAUUCCCAUUUUAGAUCUAUUUCUCAUAUUAUUUUUCAAAUCUGAUGUUUUGUAACAGCUAAAAGAAACAGUGAUUGCAAGUUAUUGUUCUUUUUUUUUUUUGUUUCUCAAAGUUCCACAGUUUCUCCCAUUCUUUCUCUCAUUUAUCAUUCUUUCCUCCAUUAUUUGCUUUCUCAUUCUGAGGAGACUCAUACAAACUUUCUUUAGUCAAAGUAUAAUUUAAGUUUGAUUUCAUAAGUUGAUUAUUGUGGGACCGGAUGACAGAAGAAACUUCCAAAAGAGCAUGCUUAAUACAGGAAGUGAGGUUAAUGAUUCAGUAGGCGAAACUUGUAUCUGACUCACCGUACCACCUAAUGAAGCGCUAUAUUCACAAUAGAGAUUUAGUAAAUGUUUGUUGUCUGAUUACUAUGCCACUGAUAAAUCCUGAGUAUAAGGAAAAUGCCAUGUAGAAAUCAUCUAUUUCAGUUCUAAAGAUUAGGAAACAGAAGCAGCAAGAAACCAAAUGACAUGUUUGAUGUGUGUAGUGAGUUCGUAGUAGAAACAUUUCUAUUAUUGGCUCUGUUUUUGUCCUGGCAUGUUUUCCUUUCACCUCUAUCUUUCUCAUCUUUUAAAAAUUUACAUUAUAUCACUACAUAUAUUUAUCUUUGAAAAUCUUCUUAGAUGACUUUUGUAACAAGGCAGUAAAAAAGAAUUGAUACCAACGCUUUAGAUUCAGAAAUGUACCUUUGCCAUCUAAACCGUAUUGCUGCUGCUGCUGCUGCUAAGUCACUUAGUCGUGUUAGACUCUGUGCAACCCCAUAGGUGGCAGCCCACCAGGCUCCUCUGUCCCUGGGAUUCUCCAGGCAAGAACACUGGAGUAGGUUGCCAUUUCCUUCUCCAUAUUGAGGAUAACACAAAUUGGAGGCCAAGUUUCAUGAAGUUGAUCAGAAACUAUGAGUAAUCUAUAACAACCAGUUCAGUCUAUCAAAGACACAGAAUCAAAUCUGCUAUUGUGUAGUGCUUUUCAAUUGUUCUGGUAGCCUCUGAAAAGUAGUCCAUUCUUGAAAGCACUCUCUGAAUUACCUUGCAUAGUUUAGCAGUGAAUCUUAAAUUUUCAGGAAGUCUAAGACAUCAUGAAAAUGCACAUACAUGCAUACCCACUGUAUUCUACAUAUAAUUUCAAUAAGUUUAUAAACCCCUGGAUCUGUUUGAGGACUUCUCAUAGCACCACGACAGAGUAAGAAUCUCUGGUUUAUAGAAGCAGUUUGUGAACCUACUCUUGUUGGUUCAUUUGCCAAAUUUUUUGUGGGGGGAAGAUGGAGGUGCCAUGUUGUCUAAUUUAGAUAUCUGUUUUAUGAAAUCUUAGUGGAAAAAUUAUUUCCUUUCAAAAUAGAGAAUACAUUUAAAAAAUCUGUGACUGCCAUUGCACAGGCUUAAUUUUCCUGUUAGA